rnacentral:rRNA from 1 species
UGAGGAAUAUUGGACAAUGGGCGCAAGCCUGAUCCAGCCAUGCCGCGUGCAGGAUGAAGCAUCUAUGGUGUGUAAACUGCUUUUGUACGAGAAGAAACACUCCUUCGUGAAGGGGCUUGACGGUAUCGUAAGAAUAAGGAUCGGCUAACUCCGUGCCAGCAGCCGCGGUAAUACGGAGGAUCCAAGCGUUAUCCGGAAUCAUUGGGUUUAAAGGGUCCGUAGGCGGGCCAGUAAGUCAGUGGUGAAAUCU